CCUGGGUGGAGACCCGAACGCUGUCGCCAUUUUCCCCGGGGCCCGAGGUAGUACAUGCACAUGGAGAAAAGAAAUUCAAGCAGGACAAAAGAGUGCACAUGCAAGCAGAAGAAAUGGUGUAGGCUCUGAAACACCACUUGAAGAAUGGGCCAUGAUGUGGGACAAUAAAAAAUUAGUACUGGAGUGAUUGGAAUGAUCAGCUGCUAACCAAUAACUGAUAUAAAUGAUAACUGAAUGAGCCCGCUACAGAGGUAAACAUUUGAACUUAGAGGAAUACAAGGAGGAGUGAUGGCCCUACAUGAUCACUGGAGGCAUAAAGUGGCUCUGCAUAAUGUGGGCAACUAUGCACAGAAGCCAAAUAUUGACUAAAUAGCUCAACAAUUAUU